rnacentral:rRNA from 1 species
ACUGAACGCUGGCGGCAUGCCUUACACAUGCAAGUCGAACGGUAACAGGUCUUCGGAUGCUGACGAGUGGCGAACGGGUGAGUAAUACAUCGGAACGUGCCUAGUAGUGGGGGAUAACUACUCGAAAGAGUGGCUAAUACCGCAUGAGAUCUACGGAUGAAAGCAGGGGAUCGCAAGACCUUGUGCUACUAGAGCGGCCGAUGGCAGAUUAGGUAGUUGGUGGGAUAAAAGCUUACCAAGCCGACGAUCUGUAGCUGGUCUGAGAGGACGAUCAGCCACACUGGGACUGAGACACGGCCCAGACUCCUACGGGAGGCAGAAGUGGGGAAUUUUGGACAAUGGGCGCAAGCCUGAUCCAGCAAUGCCGCGUGCAGGAUGAAGGCCUUCGGGUUGUAAACUGCUCUUGUACGGAACGAAAAGCCCCGGGUUAAUACCCUGGGGUCAUGACGGUACCGUAAGAAUAAGCACCGGCUAACUACGUGCCAGCAGCCGCAGUAA